UACAGAGGUCUCAACCGUUGUUCGGAUUCAUUGGGCGUAAAGGGUGCGUAGGCGGUCGCGCAAGUCGGAUGUGAAAUCUCGGGGCUCAACCCCGAAACUGCAUUCGAUACUGCGUGGCUAGAGUGCUGGAGGGGAGACUGGAAUUUACGGUGUAGCAGUGAAAUGCGCAGAUAUCAGGAGGAACACCUAUUGCGAAGGCAGCUCGCUGGGACGUAACUGACGCUGAGACGCGAAAGCGUGGGGAGCAAACAGG
rnacentral:rRNA from 1 species